rnacentral:rRNA from 1 species
ACUCCUACGGGAGGCAGCAGUGGGGAAUAUUGCACAAUGGGCGCAAGCCUGAUGCAGCCAUGCCGCGUGUAUGAAGAAGGCCUUCGGGUUGUAAAGUACUUUCAGCGGGGAGGAAGGCAAUACGGUUAAUAACCGUGUUGAUUGACGUUACCCGCAGAAGAAGCACCGGCUAACUCCGUGCCAGCAGCCGCGGUAAUACGGAGGGUGCAAGCGUUAAUCGGAAUUACUGGGCGUAAAGCGCACGCAGGCGGUCUGUCAAGUCGGAUGUGAAAUCCCCGGGCUCAACCUGGGAACUGCAUUCGAAACUGGCAGGCUUGAGUCUUGUAGAGGGGGGUAGAAUUCCAGGUGUAGCGGUGAAAUGCGUAGAGAUCUGGAGGAAUACCGGUGGCGAAGGCGGCCCCCUGGACAAAGACUGACGCUCAGGUGCGAAAGCGUGGGGAGCAAACAGGAUUAGAAACCCGAGUAGUCCCAUGA